UGGGGAAUUUUGGACAAUGGGGGCAACCCUGAUCCAGCCAUUCCGCGUGAGUGAAGAAGGCCUUCGGGUUGUAAAGCUCUUUUGUCGGGGACGAAACGGUUUAGGUUAAUACCCUAGGCUACUGACGGUACCCGAAGAAUAAGCACCGGCUAACUACGUGCCAGCAGCCGCGGUAAUACGUAGGGUGCGAGCGUUAAUCGGAAUUACUGGGCGUAAAGCGUGCGCAGGCGGUUUUGUAAGCCAGAUGUGAAAUCCCCGGGCUCAACCUGGGAAUGGCAUUUGGGACUGCAAGGCUAGAGUAUGGCAGAGGAGACUAGAAUUCCUGGUGUAGCAGUGAAAUGCGUAGAUAUCAGGAGGAAUACCGAUGGCGAAGGCAGGUCUCUGGGUCAAUACUGACGCUCAUGCACGAAAGCGUGGGGAGCAAACAGG
rnacentral:rRNA from 1 species